CAGGAGUUGGAUUCCAAGUUCUUCUCUUCUUGAACAAAGAAUUGAAUGAAAUGAGCAAACUGCAAUGGCAAAGUUUAUUUGAAAAAAGUCUCCAGUUUCGGGGCAGCAUCUGAGUGGAGAUGCGUCCCUGCUCAUGCUGACAGAUGAAGAAGGCGGUCGGGCCGAGGACCGUGCUGGAUGCAGGCACCAGCAGGCAGUAGGAGCAGGAUCGUACUGAGACAAGCGUGGUGGUUCACACAGUAACUCCAGCAUUCUGGAAGACGGAAACGGGAGGAUCACAAGUUUGAGCCCAGCCUGGACACCAUAGUGUGAAGAAGGCUUCAGUUUAUUUGUUUCGUACUUAAGCAGUCUUUUCUUUCAUGACGUCUACAUUUUGAGUCAUAGUUAGAAUGUCUUAACCACUUUAAGGUAAUGAAUUAAGUGGAUUGAUGAGUUUGUGUUUCUAUUCUUACUUUCAAUCUUUGAUCCAUUUAAAAUUAUCUUGUAUAUCAUAUGGGGUUUGGAACCCAUCUAUCUACUCACAUCGCUUAAUUUUUUGUGUGUAUGGUUCAGAAAAAGCAAUUCAUUAUAUAUUAAAUGACUCAAAUUUUCCCCCACUUCCUCAUUUUCUUUUGUAGGCAUGAGGCUAGACACAGGAAUCCUUGAUAUUUUCUUCUAAUAUUACAAGUGGUUUUAUGAAAG
rnacentral:lncRNA from 1 species